rnacentral:rRNA from 1 species
UACGUAGGCAGCAAGCGUUGUUCGGAAUUACUGGGCGUAGAGAGUGUGUAGGCGGUGCUCUAAGUUCGGUGUGAAAUCUCCCGGCUCAACUGGGAGGGUGCGCCGAAAACUGGAGUGCUGGAGCGCGGGAGAGGAAAGCGGAAUUCCUGGUGUAGCGGUGAAAUGCGCAGAUAUCAGGAGGAACACCGGUGGCGAAGGCGGGUCUCUGGGCCGAUACUGACGCUGAGGAGCGAAAGCGUGGGGAGCGAACAGG